AAGAGUUGGUAAUUAUUUGGAUACACAGGGCCCUAAUGGACAGAGUUGAUCUGAAAAGCAGCAGCAGAGUUGGGACAUGUCAACAAAGAGAAAGUUUUUACUUCACUUACGUAACUAGACUACCUCCUGCACAAGACAUGGCUCCACUAAAUCCGUAAAGCACAUCUGUGUGGUUUGGAGUCCUGGCUGAAGCUGGCUAAGUGCACAGUGAAACCAGUCGUCACAAUGUCAUGAUCUGGGGGUUUCUGAUGGCCUCUUGAUGUUCCUUCCCCACGUCCCACCAGGUAUGAGUCCAACCAGGUACGAGCACUUGGGAACAACACACCAUGUGUAAACACCAUGAUGUUUGCUCCUUGAGAAAUGUUUUAUUGUGAGACUUAGUAGUUACUAAACAAAUACUGUUUUUCAAUCAGCUGGCUCUGGCCCACUCAAGUCUCCAAGGCUUUAAGUCACUAUCUUCCUGGAAGGCAAAACUCAAGGCUAUGCCUUCUCCCUUUCAGGUCACCAUCCAGUCCCUUGGUUGACCAGAAGACACAAGUAUGACUUUAUCUCUUGGGUAUUGCAUCACCAGGGAGUGAUUUAGUUACCAGGGAGAUCAGACUCUGCUCAGCAAACGCUGGUGAGACUAAGAGUGUGGGCUUUGGGUUUUGGUCCCAGAUCUUCUGUUUACAUCUAGGCGUCCUACAGUUGCUUUAUCUAGGACUGGGUUACUGUGAAGAUUUGGUGACAUACUGUGUGUAAACUGGAGGCAUGAAAGUAUGAGAAAAUUAAAGUAUCUUUUUAUUAUUUUAUAAAGAUUGAAUGAACUCUUUAAAAUAUCUUUAUGGAAGAAACUCCUUAUUGAUAAAUGGCAUCUCUCUCAGGUCACAAUGAGUCGGACACCUUAUUUAUACCCAGUCCUGAAAACAAAACAGACAAACGAAAAAAACCUGGGGGACUUCCCUGGUGGUCCAGUGGUUAAGAAUCCGCCUUCCAAUGCAGGGGACACGGGUUCGAUCCCUGGUCUGGGAACUAAGAUCCCACAUGUUGUGGGGCAACUAAGCCUGUGCGCCACAACUACUGAGCCUGCGCGCCACAACUAGAGAGAAGCCCACAUGCGGCAAUGAAGAGCCUGCGCACCGCAAUGAGAGUGCCCGCCUGCCACAACUAAGACCCGAUGCAGCCAAAAAUAUAUAUAAAUAAAUAAAUAUUUUUUAAAGAAAACCUAAAGUGUUUUAAUUGGUCUUCUAUUAGUUUGUGCACUCAAAGGCAGGGUCGAGAUCAUCAGCAUUUUCUGGUCACUCACAAUUACCAAGAAUUAGAAGCGAUCUUGCAGAUCAUCUGAUUCAAACCUCCCAUUCGAUAGACGAGAAGUCUUGCUAAGGGAGUCUUGAGGGUUAAUGCCAGGAAUAGUUGUAAUAAUAAGGAACAUUUAUUAAAUCCUUACAGUGUGCCAGGCACCAUGCUAAGCAUUUUCCAUGCAUUAUCUCAUUUAUCUUUUUUUUUCCAACUGUGAGAUGGACUCCAUUAUUAGAAGCCUCACUUACAGAUGAGGAAAAUGAGACUUAAAAGAGGAUGAUGUUGUUCUCCAAAUCACCAAGGAAUAAUGGGUGGAGGACCUAACCCCAGAGCCUGCAAUUUUAUCCUCCUCACAGAACAGCCUUCAAGUCUCAGUUGGCAAUUUUUCUCUGUGCUUCAUUUAGAAGAUAUAUACAUUAAUGAAAUAGUUUCUGGUUCUAUAAAUUUUCCUGCACAUUCGUUAAAAACCAGGUAAUGACCCAGAGGAAGCAUUUCUGAAAGUACUAACCAUUCAAGGUUUUCUUGCGGUGCACAUCCAGAAGGUGAAAAUACUCCACCAAAGCCUUCACAUUUCUCACGGAUAAUAAGCAAUACAGUUUAUCCAGAUAGAGGUACCACAGAAACGAUCCUUGCUUCAGUUUCAUUAUGGUGCCCUUUAAGCCAAAGACUCUGGAAACCUGAAGUAGAAGAGAGAAUUCUGCCUCAGAAUUAGAAUGUUGGAUAGAGAGAAGCUCUGGUAAUAAAGGUCUUC